GGGGGCGGUUUCGGGCUGGUGCUCGGACUGGUCUUCAAAACCAGCUGGGGCUCGAAUGAGCCUCGGUAGGUUCGAUUCCUACACGCUCCCGCCA
rnacentral:tRNA from 1 species